rnacentral:rRNA from 1 species
UACGAAGGGGGCUAGCGUUGCUCGGAAUCACUGGGCGUAAAGCGCACGUAGGCGGAUUGUUAAGUCAGGGGUGAAAUCCUGGAGCUCAACUCCAGAACUGCCUUUGAUACUGGCGAUCUCGAGUUCGGGAGAGGUGAGUGGAACUGCGAGUGUAGAGGUGAAAUUCGUAGAUAUUCGCAAGAACACCAGUGGCGAAGGCGGCUCACUGGCCCGGUACUGACGCUGAGGUGCGAAAGCGUGGGGAGCAAACA